CAAUAGCGUAUAUUAAAGUUGUUGCAGUUAAAAAGCUCGUAGUUGGAUUUGUGGCUGUUGCUGUCCGUUCUUCACUUGUUGUUGAAUUGGUUGGCGUCGCUAUCCUUGGGUGGAUCCUGUGUGGCAUUAGGUUGUCGUGCAGGGGAUGCCCAUCUUUUACUGUGAAAAAAUUAGAGUGUUCAAAGCAGGCUUAUGCCGUUGAAUAUAUUAGCAUGGAAUAAUGAGAUAGGACCUUGGUACUAUUUUGUUGGUUUGCGCACCAAGGUAAUGAUUAAUAGGGACAGUUGGGGGUAUUCGUAUUCCAUUGUCAGAGGUGAAAUUCUUGGAUUUCUGGAAGACGAACUACUGCGAAAGCAUUUACCAAGGAUGUUUUCAUUAA
rnacentral:rRNA from 1 species